UACGUAGGGUGCGAGCGUUGUCCGGAAUUAUUGGGCGUAAAGAGCUUGUAGGCGGUCUGUCGCGUCUGCUGUGAAAAUCCGGGGCUCAACCCCGGACUUGCAGUGGGUACGGGCAGACUAGAGGUGUGGUAGGGAGACUGGAAGUUCCUGGUGUAGCGGUGAAAUGCGACAGAUAUCGAGGAGGAACACCCGGUGGCGAAGGCGGAU
rnacentral:rRNA from 1 species